GAUAAUCGGGCUUUAGGCCCAGCCCCUUUGAAGUCAGGACGAAGCCCAGCCCACGAGCAGCAUGUGAUGGACGGACGGCGUCGUUUUGGGGAGGGAUUAAAUUUCCUUUCUGCCGUGCACUGUUUUUCUUCUUCUUCCGCCGAUUCCUUCAUUCUGCAUUUCGGUCUGCUUUUCCGUGAUUCUCUCCCUUCCCGUGCAACUGCUUCCCAUGCCCCACAAUUUCUAUUUUCGGUUCCGCACAUGAAGAGCCUUCCUCACCACAUUUACAAACCACUCAGACUCUCUCUCUUGCGUGGACUGGUGUUUCAUCCUUAGCCGACAUAUCUGUUUCCGCGGGUCUCGAAUUUUCUGGUUCUUCGAAGUAGACUGUGGGCACCAAGUCUGGGAGCCGGGGUUGCCUCUGUUUUUGAAGUUAUUUUCGGUGGUGUUACUAUUAGAGUUCCGGCUCAAGGUGUUGAUAAUACGAAGAAGUCAG